ACGUAGGGUGCAGGCGUUAAUCGGAAUUACUGGGCGUAAAGCGUGCGCAGGCGGUUGUGUAAGACAGAUGUGAAAUCCCCGGGCUCAACCUGGGAACUGCAUAUGUGACUGCACAGCUGGAGUACGGUAGAGGGGGAUGGAAUUCCGCGUGUAGCAGUGAAAUGCGUAGAUAUGCGGAGGAACACCGAUGGCGAAGGCAAUCCCCUGGACCUGUACUGACGCUCAUGCACGAAAGCGUGGGGAGCAAACAGGAUUAGAUACCCUGGUAGUCCACGCCCUAAACGAUGCUGACUAGUUGUUGGGAAUUUACAUUCUCAGUAACGUAGCUAACGCGUGAAGUCAGCCGCCUGGGGAGUACGGUCGCAAGGUUA
rnacentral:rRNA from 1 species